AUGUCUAGCUUUUGGUGGGGAGAUACUGAAGAACAAAAGAAAAUGCAUUGGUGGGCGUGGUGGAAGAUGUGUGUACCAAAAAAGAAUGGAGGUAUGGGGUUUAGGGACUUGCACGCUUUUAAUCUCGCUAUGUUAGCAAAGCAAAGUUGGAGGUUGAUCACAAAACCAAAUUCUUUGUGUGCGACUAUUCUUAGAGAAAAGUAUUACCCCGAUGGCAAUUUACUGAAAGCGGGUCCGAAGAAGGGAUCCUCUUUUACUUGGCAGAGCAUAAUUGCUGGGCUACGCACAUUUAUGAGAGGACACAUAUGGAGAGUUGGUACUGGAGCAAAUAUCAACAUAUGGGAGGACCAUUGGGUGCCUGGCAUUCCGAACAGGAAAGUAAUAACUGUGAAAGGACAAAGACUUCUACAAAAUGUAGAUGAUUUAAUUGAUCCCUUUACAGGACAGUGGGAUGAGGCUUUGAUUAGAGAUAAUUUUAUUUGGGUGGAUGUGGAUUCUCGUUCUCGGUUCGAUCAGCUUAUUAUGUGGAAUGGGAACAUCAAUUUGGUGCUCAAACUAGGUGGGGGGAUGGUCAAGGAGCUAUGA
rnacentral:rRNA from 1 species